rnacentral:rRNA from 1 species
UACGUAGGCAGCAAGCGUUGUUCGGAAUUACUGGGCGUAAAGAGUGUGUAGGCGGUUUUCUAAGUUUGGUGUGAAAUCUCCCGGCUUAACUGGGAGGGUGCGCCGAAAACUGGAAGGCUUGAGUGCCGGAGAGGAUAGCGGAAUUCCCGGUGUAGCGGUGAAAUGCGUAGAUAUCAGGAGGAACACCUGUGGUGUAGACGGCUUUCUGGACCAUAGCUGACGCUGAGACACGAAAGCGUGGGUAGCAAACAGG